GGCUCCAUAGUUCAAGGGAUAGAACGAAAGUUUCCUAAACUUUAGAUUCCAGUUCGAGUCUGGGUGGGGCUAC
rnacentral:tRNA from 1 species